UGCAUUGUGGUUGGCUGCCAAUCAGGCCCAAACCACGACAGAGGACCAAGAAGGAAGAGCUGCCCUAUGGGCUUGGAACCCAGGAGAAAGGAGACAGGCUGCAUGCAUGAUGGAGCAAAGGAUAGCCUGGAGGCGUGUCACCAUGAGACGUACACAGCUGACAGUCCAAAGCCACAGCCUUUAGCACAAACACUAUCUGGACAAGCCAGGCUGAAAGCCCCUGCGUGGAGCGCUGCUGGGAGCGAAGGAGAGGGCGAUAGCGCAGCCGGUGAUGCCAUCUAGCUGCUGUGCUGCCUCCAGGGGAUGCUUGCCAUGGUGGUGGGCCCAUCAGCCUGCAUGGACCUUCCUAAAACAACUUCUAGCUAUUUUUCCUUCCACUGGAAAAUAGGUUUGUUUUCACUCAAGGCAUGAGAUGAAAGGCUGGUGUUUCUGCACCAGUUGUGUUUUAUUAUACUUUCAAUCCAUUCUUGUUUUAUUCAUCCUGCUUCUCUCCUUUCUUCUGAUUUUAAUUGGUUCUGAUUUUAGUCAGAUGCCGCUGUGAUUGCCUCUAAUUCCCUUUCCACCAAUACUGGAAAUAUUCUACUUUCCCUUCUCACUACCUGCACACCAUCAGCCAGCUUUCCCCUGCCUUUGACCUCCCUGGUAAUAAAUAUAACUAUUAAUUUCACAAGGCA